CUAUGCGCCUUGCCAGCCCGCUCAGGUGUGCCAGCAGCCGCGGUAAUACGUAGGUGGCAAGCGUUAUCCGGAUUUAUUGGGCGUAAAGCGAGCGCAGGCGGUUGCUUAGGUCUGAUGUGAAAGCCUUCGGCUUAACCGAAGAAGUGCAUCGGAAACCGGGCGACUUGAGUGCAGAAGAGGACAGUGGAACUCCAUGUGUAGCGGUGGAAUGCGUAGAUAUAUGGAAGAACACCAGUGGCGAAGGCGGCUGUCUGGUCUGCAACUGACGCUGAGGCUCGAAAGCAUGGGUAGCGAACAGG
rnacentral:rRNA from 1 species